rnacentral:rRNA from 1 species
ACACGACUACAUUAGAUACCCCCGUAGUCCUAGCCGUAAACGAUACUCGCUAGGUGUCGGCCACGGUGCGACCGUUGUCGGUGCCGUAGGGAAGCCGUGAAGCGAGCCACCUGGGAAGUACGGCCGCAAGGCUGAAACUUAAAGGAAUUGGCGGGGAGCACCGCAACGGGAGGAGCGUGCGGUUCAAUUGGAUUCAACGCCGGACAACUCACCAGGAGCGACGGUUACAUGAAGGCCAGGCUGAUGACCUUGCCUGAUUUUCCG